rnacentral:tRNA from 1 species
CGCGGGAUAGAGCAGUUUGGUAGCUCGUCGGGCUCAUAACCCGAAGGUCGUAGGUUCGAAUCCUUCUCCCGCAACCA